CCUACGGGGGGCUGCAGCGGGGAAUAUUGCACAAUGGGCGCAAGCCUGAUGCAGCCAUGCCGCGUGUGUGAAGAAGGCCUUCGGGUUGUAAAGCACUUUCAGCGGGGAGGAAGGCGGUGAGGUUAAUAACCUCAUCGAUUGACGUUACCCGCAGAAGAAGCACCGGCUAACUCCGUGCCAGCAGCCGCGGUAAUACGGAGGGUGCAAGCGUUAAUCGGAAUUACUGGGCGUAAAGCGCACGCAGGCGGUCUGUCAAGUCGGAUGUGAAAUCCCCGGGCUCAACCUGGGAACUGCAUUCGAAACUGGCAGGCUAGAGUCUUGUAGAGGGGAGUAGAAUUCCAGGUGUAGCGGUGAAAUGCGUAGAGAUCUGGAGGAAUACCGGUGGCGAAGGCGGCCCCCUGGACAAAGACUGACGCUCAGGUGCGAAAGCGUGGGGAGCAAACAGGAUUAGAUACCCGGGUAGUC
rnacentral:rRNA from 1 species